rnacentral:misc_RNA from 1 species
AAGUCGUAACAAGGUUUCCGUAGGUGAACCUGCGGAAGGAUCAUUAAAGAGUAAGGGUCUCUGGCCCGAACCUCCAACCCUCUGUUGUUAUAACUACUUCGUUGCUUUGGCGGGACCGCGAAGGUCCUCCCGAGCGCGCCAGUCUCCGGACAGGCGAGCGCCCGCCAGAGUCUAACCAAACUCUUGUUUUAAACCAGUCGUCUGAGUAUAAAAUUUUAAUUAAAUUAAAACUUUCAACAACGGAUCUCUUGGUUCUC